GGGAGCCCAGCCUUGCCGGGCUGAGUAAUGCGCGGUGCCGACGCGAACGGCGGCCGGGGGCGAGGGGAGCGAGCGUGGCGCGGGAAUGCCCCGAACCAAGCCCAGCUCCCGGAGCUCAUUUCCACUCCUUCCACCUGCCAAUGUUGCUUCGCCUCAGCUGUGUUGGGCUGGCAUUUGUGUGCAAUGCAGUGAUGUGGACAUUCUUCACAAAAGCCUUACAACUCUCCUCCUCCUCAGCUGCUGCCUCGGUGACAACAACAGCCUCCAACUUCAUCUUUUCGGCUAUCCUGGGAAAAUUGCUCUUCGGGGAGACGUGGACGCCUCUGUGGUGGGUCGGCCUCACCAUGACAGUCUGUGGGCUCAUGCUGCUGCACACUGCUGCACCCCAGCUGGUGCAGGUCCCAGCGGAGAAGAAGGAGUGAUAGUUCCUUCCAGAUAGCUGAAGGGGUCACAGUGCCAUGCUGCCCCUCUCCAGCCUGUCUCAUGACAGCAUCCCCAGUCCCCACUGGCCUCUGAACACAUCAGCCACCGAGCUGCUAACCCCUUCUUUCUGCUCAUCUGCUGACUUCCAAAAUCAAGUUGGUCACAUCUUUCCUGGUGGUGGUAUGUGGCAGUGACAGCCUCGGCGGGAGCUGGUCAACUCUGAGUCAGUAUGGUGAAAAUCAGGGCCAGAGGCUUAUCAGCCACUCCUCCUCUUCACACCCUGUGGCUGUGGAGCUUUCUCAGUUUGGGGAAUUCUGAAAGUAUACAAAUUAAACAUAGGGGCUGUGGAAGGGGCUUGUACAUCAAUAUUUUUCCAUGAAAAUACCUAUACCAAAAUAGAAAAGGAAUUAGAGUUAGAUGCUGAAGGUUAUUUCUACUCUGUUGUUCCUGACUUCCUGUCUCUUGAAAUGGUUCUGUGCCCACUGCUACCUGUAAGGCUGUGAAGACUUUCAUUAAUUCCUUCAGCUUCCUCUGUCAGUGACAUACACCUUUUAACUUGCCAUUUGUAUCUGACAUCUAGAAUUUUCACUUACCCAUUCCUGACUUGUUAGUCACUGUAAGGUUGCGGCGCUUUCCUUCAAACCUUUACCCAUCAUAGGGUUUUGAUCACCAUUCCUGCUUUGUGUAGGUCAAACUAAUUUUGGGACAGUUCAACAGGCAAUCUGCUUUCACUUGGAGUGUUCAUGUUCAACACUUCCUUCAUCCCCACUCAAGUUGACAAUUGCUUUAAUGUUUGAUAAAAGGGAGUUUCUCAAGACACAUUUUUUCUACACCUCUGGAUGAUGCUUAUUCCCAUUGAUGUGAUGUGAUCAACCAAAUCACUGGUAUCUGGUGAAUUUUGCAUCAGUCAUUACUCUGUGUUCAGGUGUCAAUUUGGUGAGUGUGUCAUGAAUCAUCAUUUGUAAGGUAUCGUAUUCAUUCCCCUGCCCAUUUCUUUUUUUUUCCUCCUUUAAAAUUCUUCGGUUGAAAUCCUAAUUAAGAAAUAUAAUGAUGCCUAUAAAUGUAUGCAUCAUGCUGGUGAUAUCACUUGCUUGUUCUGGGCUUGCCAGGUUAUCUCUGUCAGACAGAAGGUGAGUCACGGUUGUGGCAUGUGCAGAAAACGUAAGGACACAUUUCUGUGAGCAUCUGUAUCAGAAUCUGUCAGAUCUAUCAUGACUGGCAGAUCUGUGCUGUGUCAAGUGUAAAGUAGACUUUUGCAUGGAAAUGCCACUGGGGUUGGGUUUGUGCCUUUUUUGAAUCAGAAGAGUCACUAUCUUUCAGAAGAGGACAAGAGCCAUUUGCUCCAUUCCCUGCCAUUCUAGCUCACUACAUCUAGCAGCCAUGUCCCAAGAGGGCUAAAGCCUUUGCCUCUCCCCUCAAUGUGCUCUCAAGUCUUCCUGUAAAAGAGGGGAGCUGCAUAUGUGGGGGAGAGGGCAGAGUGCUCUGAGUGCCUCCCUCCCUGCCUCCUUGAGUUUUGCACCUAGGGAGCUCUCUGGUGGCAGUCAUGGUAGAGUGGGACACAUCCAGUUGCCUGGGAAACAAGGACCCAGCAUCUGUCAUAGGUCUGUAGACAUGACAGCCAGGAACCAUGCAUUUCUAAGUACAUCAGGUCUCCUUAGAUCUUCAUAGAUGAUGUAAAUUUAAUGAAGCCUGAUUUAUUUGCCCUGGUUAUUAACCCUCAGCCAGCUGUAAGCCAUGGCUGCCUUUAUGCAAACAGCAGUAGAAAAGCCAGGCUCUCUGGUUAAUUUGGCUGUUGUCCCAUUUCCUAACAAACCAUUUGGAAAGCUUUUUAACCUGGACUAUCUCAAAACUGACAUUUCUUUAUUACAGUCAUUGUUGGAAGUCAAAGUUUAGGAGGUGUUUCUUCGGAAGUGGAACGUGUGCAGAAGGUGUGAGCAGCACUUUACUUUGUGGUGCUCACCUUGAGGUGGAUGAAUAUAAACCAGGGGUGUAAAUUCUCUCAUAAAUACUUGAAGGUGGAAACGGAAGUAAGUUUUUCUCCAAUCCCCAUGGUAAGAAAAGAGUUCAUUUUGUGGCAGAUCCCACCCCUCUUGUGUACACAAGAGUUUGGCCAUGUCUGCCAGCGGGGCCAGGGCUACAAGAAAAAUUGUGAUCACUGUGUGGCAAAGCAAUGUACUUUCGGUAAACCAUUCAUAUGGGAUCAUCCAAAAUGUGUCUGCAGGUAAUUUAAAAAAAAAAAAAAAAAGGAGGGGGAUUUCCAAAAUAAAACUGUGUCCAAAACUCA
rnacentral:lncRNA from 1 species